rnacentral:lncRNA from 1 species
GGUCCCUGGCUCGGCUCUACCCCCAUGGAUCUAGGUGGGCUCAAUGUCAUCACAAGGGUGCUUAAGAGGGAAAGAGGAAGCCAUGAGGGUCAGAGUCAAAGGAAGACUUGAAGAUACUACACUGCGGACUUUAAAGAUGAAGGAAGGGGCGAAAACCAAGAAUGUGGGAAGCCUCUAGAAGCUAGAGAAGGCAAGGAAACAAAUUUUCCACUAGAGCCUCCAGAAGGAACACAGCCCUGCUGACCCACUGUAAUGUCUGACCUCUAGAUGUGUAAGGGUAGUAAGACUGAAAGUCUCAGAAAGGCACUGUUAAAUUCUUAUUCCUCAACUAUGCAACUCAAAACUGGGGUCCUCAGCAGUGAGCGAGGGGUGAGAGAAGACACUGUAUAAACAUGGCACAUCCUCCUGGAAAGUCAACUUUACUCAAAGGUAAAUAAUUUAACAUAUUUUUCUUUUUAAAACACACAUGGAUGUAUUAUGAAGGAGAAUGCAAAUUUUGCAUGAAUUUUUAAGAAUAGGUGUGGAUUAUUCAACCACUUUCUUAUUGCAGCUUUAGAAACCCAGCUCAAACUAGCUGAAGCAGAAAAGACAUUACUGCGCCUAUAAGUUGAAACUUUGGAGGGAUAAAUUUCAGAGGUGUGGCUAGAUCCAACGGCUCUCUGGAAAACUCUGUGAAAAAAAUGCUUCCUCAAGUCCAGAAACCAGAAGCUCAGGAAAUUGUUGCUUGGUUCCUCUUGUUAGAGGCAGAGAUUAUUCAACGACCUACAGGGUAGCGUUUGAACAUUGUUACCAGGAAUCUUUACUUUGCCAUCUUCCAAGUCUGUUCUCCUCAGUAUUGGUUUCAUUUACAAGCAGGCCAUCUCUGCCCUCAUGGCAAUGAUGGUCUUUACUCCAGGCUUAAGACCCUUACUAUCUACUAUUUCCAAAGCGGAGAGAGAACUUCCCACACCUAGUGACCUGUGACACAGGAUUUUAUCCUUCGUACAGAGGGAAUUCAGUUGGCUAACAUAAUCUGCCUUCCAAUGGAGUAAGAAUGUCUGGACUCUUUCCUUCACCUACCCCCAAGACAUGGAGGCGUCUAAAAGAUAAAUAAAACUUGGCAACUGACCGAAGGAGGAAGAGGGGAUUUCAGGCAAAAUCAACGCUGUUCACUACGAGGAGACUUCAGAAAGGUUGCCUGCUUCUGGGGAGCAUAGUCCCUGAUUCCUCAAGACAUACGUUUAUUCUUUUCUUCAAUGUCUUUGCCUGCAGUCAAAACAAAACCAUUACCUUUAGCCAAGUUCACACAUUUCAGCCAAAUCCAUAUGCAUCGGAUCAGUUCUGUAGGUUAUGGGUGAGCAUGAACAUAUAAAAGAGGCACCUGCCUGUGCCUAUCUACUCCAUGGAAUUUCAAAAGGGGCCACUUAUGGAGAAUGUCUUUAGGGACAGAACCAACCACCCUGUCUUUCCUCCAACUCUCAAAGUAACUUCUGGCUUUAAUCCUCAAGUGUCUAUGCUGGAGUUUAAGAAAAAUGUUUUUCA